rnacentral:rRNA from 1 species
AGCGUAGACGGACUGGCAAGUCUGAUGUGAGAGGCGGGGGCUCAACCCCUGGACUGCAUUGGAAACUGUUAGUCUUGAGUGCCGGAGAGGUAAGCGGAAUUCCUAGUGUAGCGGUGAAAUGCGUAGAUAUUAGGAGGAACACCAGUGGCGAAGGCGGCUUACUGGACGGUAACUGACGUUGAGGCUCGAAAGCGUGGGAGCAAACA